rnacentral:rRNA from 1 species
AUUGAACGCUGGCGGCAGGCCUAACACAUGCAAGUCGAGCGCGCGGCGGACGGGUGAGUAAUGUCGGGGAAACUGCCUGCUGGAGGGGGCUAACUACUGGAAACGGUAGCUAAUACCGCAUACCAUCAGAUGUGCUCACAUGGGCUUAGCUAGUAGGUGGGGUAACGGCCCACCUAGACGACGAUCCCUACCUGGUCUGAGAGGAUGACCAGCCACACUGUAACUGAGGCACGGUCCAGACUCCUACGGGAGGCAGCAGGAGGGAAUAUUGCACAAUAGGGGCAAGCCUGAUGGAGCCAUGCCGCGUGUGUAAAGAAAGCCUUCGGGUUGUAGAGCACUUUCAGCGGGGAGGCGUUACCCGAAGAAGAAGCACCGGCUAACUCCGUGCCAGCAGCCGCGGUAAUAC